UACGGGGGGAGCAAGCGUUGUUCGGAUUUACUGGGCGUAAAGGGCGCGUAGGCGGCCACCGCAAGUCGGUUGUGAAAUCUCCGGGCUUAACCCGGAAAGGUCAAUCGAUACUGCGGGGCUAGAGUGCAGAAGGGGCAACUGGAAUUCUCGGUGUAGCGGUGAAAUGCGUAGAUAUCGAGAGGAGCACCUGCGGCGAAGGCGGGUUGCUGGGCUGACACUGACGCUGAAGCGCGAAAGCUAGGGGAGCGAACGGG
rnacentral:rRNA from 1 species